rnacentral:antisense_RNA from 3 species
CUCUAUGGCGGUUGUGCGCAGGACACCUUCGGGUGUGCCGGGAAUCUAGGUGGCCGGUCGACCAACCUGCGUACAGCUGCCUCCUUU